rnacentral:lncRNA from 1 species
ACAAAACACAAUAUAAACUAACAUAUUUGUUAUAUUUAAAAGUAAAGUUUGUUUGUUAAAAAAUAUUAGAUUAAAAAUAUGUGCUGCUAAACUUUUUUUCUCAGUAUACAUGUUUUAUAAUAGGUAACACGCUUAAAUGAUAUUUACUGUUACAGUAGUAAUUGAUUGAUUGGUAAAUUUUAUUAAUGUUCAAGUAUAACAUAUCGGCUCUUUAUUUUUUGGCUUAAAUCAUCAUCUUUGAUAUAUUAUCAUGGAC